GACGAACGCUGGCGGCGUGCCUAAUACAUGCAAGUAGACCGCAGUUGCGCACGGGUGAGUAACGCGUAGGUAACUGCCUCAUAGCGGGGGAUAACUAUUGGAAACGAUAGCUAAUACCGCAUACUGUGAGAUGUACCUGCGUUGUAUUAGCUAGUUGGUGAGGUAAAGGCUCACCAAGGCGACGAUACAUAGCCGACCUGAGAGGGGGAUCGGCCACACUGGGACUGAUGCACGGCCCAGAAUCCUACGGGAGGCAGCAGUAGGGAAUCUUCGGAAAUGGACGGAAGUCUGACCGAGCAACGCCGCGGGAGUGAAGAAGGUUUUCGGAUCGUAAAGGUCUGUUGUUAGAGAAGCGGUAACUAAACAGAAAGGGACGGCUAACUACGUGCCAGCAGCCGCGGUAAUUC
rnacentral:rRNA from 1 species